CCUCUCCAACAGCUCUCUGCCUUUCUUGUACUGGGGGCUCCAUACCUGGACACAGUACUCCAGAUGGGGCCUCACAAGGGCAGAGUAGAGAGGGCAAUCACCUCCCUGUCCCUGCUGGCCACCCCUCUCAUGAUGGAGCCCAGGAUACCAUUUGCUUUCCGAGCUGCAAGAGCACACUGCUGGCUCAUGUUAAGUUUCUCAUCCAUCAGGACCCCCAGGUCCUUCUCUGCAGAGCUGCUCUCAAGGUCUGCUCCUUCCAGUCUGUAUAGAUGCCUGGGGUUCCUCUGGCCCAAGUGCAAAACCCUGCACUUUCCCGUGUUGAACCUCAUUAGGUUCACCUGGGCCCACCUUUCAAGUCUGUCAAGACUUGAAAGGUGGGCCCAGGUGAACCUAAUGAGGUUCAACAUGGCUAAGUGCAGGGUUUUGCACUUGGGCCAGAGGAAUCCCAGGCAUCUAUACAGACUGGAAGGAGCAGUCCUUGAGAGCAGCUCUGCAGAGAAGGACCUGGGGGUCCUGAUGGAUGAGAAACUUAACAUGAGCCAGCAGUGUGCUCUUGCAGCUCGGAAAGCAAAUGGUAUCCUGGGCUCCAGCAUGAGAGGGGUGGCCAGCAGGGACAGGGAGGUGAUUGACCCUCUCUACUCUGCUCUUGUGAGGCCCCAUCUGGAGUACUGUGUCCAGGUAUGGAGCCCCCAGUACAAGAAAGGCAGAGAGCUGUUGGAGAGGGUCCAGAGGAGGGCCACAAAGAUGAUCAGGGGGCUGGAGCACCUCUCCUGCGAAGACAGGCUGAGGGAGCUGGGCUUAUUCAGCCUGGAGAAGAGAAGGCUGCGGGGUGACCUCAUUGCGGCCUUUCAGUACCUGAAGGGAGCCUAUAAACAAGAAGGGAGUAAACUCUUUGAAAGGGUAGAUAACAGCAGGACAAGGGGGAACGGUUUUAAGUUGAAAGAGGGAAGAUUUAGGUUGGAUGUUAGGGGGAAGUUCUUUACCAGGAGAGGGGUGAGGUGCUGGAACGGGCUGCCCAGAGAGACUGUAGAUGCCCCAUCCCUGGAGGUGUUCAAGGCUAGGUUGGAUGGGGCCCUGGGCAACCUGGUCUAGUAAAUGGGGAGGUUGGUGGCCCUGCCUGGCAGGGAGGUUGGAGAUUCAUGAUCCUUGAGGUCCCUUCCAACCCAGGCCAUUCUGUGAUUCUGUGAUUCUGCGUCCCUGCCUCCUCACUGGAACCAGGGCAGUGACAUGGGGUGGCAGAAUGCCUCUGAGACACUGAGACUGCAGAGGAUGACUCAUGGGGGAAAUGUGAAGCAGAUCUAUGAGGAAGAAGGCCUGUCACAGCAGGCGGCUGUCUAUUGCAGGCU
ensembl:lncRNA